rnacentral:snRNA from 1 species
AUACUUAUCUGGACGACACCAAUGACUUUCAUUGCACUUGGGAGAGGUGUUUCUCUAAGGUUUGUCCAAAUGGCAAAGCUUGUCAUAAUUUGUAGUAGAUGGAGCAUGUGUUUGCUCAACCUUAUA